rnacentral:tRNA from 1 species
GGAUAUAGCUCAGUUGGUAGAGUGCUUGUCUUGCAUGCACAAGGCCCUGGGUUCAAUCCCCAGCACCA